rnacentral:lncRNA from 1 species
GUGCUGCUGAACUAGAAUUUGUAUUUUCUGCAACUGGCUCCUCUAGGAUCUACUAAUGAUUUACAUCUAAAAGAUGAAGUUAGUAAAGCAUCAGAAAAAAAGAGUCCAUACCAUGGAAACAGAUUCCUCAUCAUUUAAGAAUACCAUAUGGUUGCUUAUAUAUGGGCAUGAAUUAAACAACUGGGUCUUUCAACAUUUUUGGAGAAGGCUAUUUCACGCUUUUAAAAUGAAUGUGCUCCUAUAAGAUCAGGUAUGUUUUAUGUACUAAAAUAACAGUGCACAGGUAUAAAAUAAAACUUAGCGGUACCUCUCUCUGGUCCUGGCAUUGUUGGUUCAUAUUAGCUUAAACUAUUUCUGACCUAUACCUUAUUACUGUAAACUUGGGUGUUUCAUAUUAUGCAAAUCCUAAUGACUUGCCUGGUUUCCCAUUAAGUUAAAUUUGGGCAAGAUUGCCAGUGUUCUCUGAGACUGCAACUUUUAAAAUUCAAUUAUUCACUCAUGUUUUACAAAGAAAAGAGUAUGUUCUUUAUGCCAGGGUCUUCCUGGGUUCUUGAACACAGUAGUGUGCAUAACAGAGAAAUUGCCAACCUCAUGGAACUUACACAUAGAAAAGGCAAAUCUUGAACAAGAAGUGUUACCAAAGCCAAAGGUCAAGGUCAGAUGGAAUGUAUUCCAAGGAAAACUAACCUGGUAUUUCAUUCAGCUGCACUACCUAUGAAUGUACACUUAUAUAAGGCCUGCCUUUUAUAAAGCACCCUCUAGUACUUUUGCUACUUAUGAGGACUAUACUAGUACUUAUACUACUCUUUAUGGGAGGAAAAAAUAAAUUUUCUACUCAUGAAUUCAUGGUGUUGGAAGCAGAAAGACUAGUUUUAAUUCUAGUACAGGCACUAUAGGUAUGAGCAAGUUAAGUUCUAAAUGUUUGUAAAUUAGAAACUUAGAAUACGUCUUCACUCUUGACGUAGUCUAGACGUCACUAGUUGAGGUGCACCUCCUCUGAGUCCCUGGAGUCUUGAGAGACUCAUAGAGAGUGAGAUGGGGGAGGGAGCUGGCUCAGUUAAUGUUCUGGAAUGCAGGCUGCUCUGAAACAGUGCUGCUGGAAGUUCUUGAAGCAACAGUGGAGAGCGGAAAAGCAGGAUAAACUUGGCAUCUGCUUUC